rnacentral:lncRNA from 1 species
GUUUUGCAGUUAUAUAUGCUAACCUUAAAUCAUAGAGCUAAAGUGGCAACCGAGAAUUAAUGAUUUAAAUGCUACAUAUAGAAUUCUGAAAACAUGUUUGUUGCGAACUUGUGUAAAGUUUAGACAAUGAUAAUUUAUAUCCGUCACAUUUAGCUGACCAAUCACAGUGGAUCAAUGGAGCAGGAUCUCAAGGAAUUCCCGACCAUCCUUUAUGAUGUCUAAUCAUGACAACUGAACAUCCCUUUGGCUGAUACCAGUCAUCGAAACAGGAUAUCCUAACCUCACGAGGCCAAGAUAAGUGUUUCCGCGAUAUCAACAUGGCUGCAACGAGCCGUUUUCCAUUGGUUGUCUAUGGCGUCCAUUAUUAAGCCACAUGAAGCCACAAGCUCUUUAAAGACUUGCACAAUCGCCAAAGAUCCAAAUGUUAUUUAUCCUUAUAUUCGUGAUAAUUACGAAAAUUAGUUAUAUAUUUGUGGCUGGAGAGAGUUACCUGAAUUUGUCUUUUCCCGGCACCUGCGUGGAUAAUUGUGGAGCCAUAUGUUUGUCUCUUAGGCCAAUACACCUUUCUUUAGAAAACCCACUAAGAAGUUCAUUAAUAACUACCAAAUUGUCUCCUCUAUGGACGUUUAUUUACUUCAAAUUUGUUUUGUAAAAUGCUUUCAUGUAAGUCUUUUAUCAUGUAUUAUAAAUUUUGAAUUGCUCUC